rnacentral:rRNA from 1 species
ACUCAAAUGAAUAGACGGGGGCCCGCACAAGCGGUGGAGCAUGUGGUUUAAUUCGAUGCAACGCGAAGAACCUUACCAAGGUUUGACAUGGGGCCGGCAGGCGCGGAAACGCGCCCUCCCUACGGGGCGGCCCACACAGGUGGUGCAUGGUUGUCGUCAGCUCGUGUCGUGAGAUGUUGGGUUAAGUCCCGCAACGAGCGCAACCCCUGCCCUUAGUAGCCAGCGCGUAGAGGCGGGCACACUAGGGGGACUGCCGUGGACAACACGGAGGAAGGUGGGGAUGAGGUCAAAUCAUCAUGCCCCUUAUGCCUUGGGCUACACACGUGCUACAAUGGCCGCAACAGAGUGAAGCGGACCCGCGAGGGCGAGCCAACCACAAAAAAGCGGCCCCAGUUCGGAUUGCAGCCUGCAACCCGGCUGCAUGAAGCCGGAAUCGCUAGUAAUCGCGGAUCAGCACGCCGCGGUGAAUACGUUCCCGGGCCUUGUACACACCGCCCGU